GUGCCAGCAGCCGCGGUAAUACGUAGGUGGCGAGCGUUGUCCGGAAUUACUGGGCGUAAAGAGCGCGUAGGCGGAUAUUUAAGUGAGAUGUGAAAUACCAGGGCUUACCCCGGGCACUGCAUUUCAUACUGGAUAUCUAGAGUGCGGGUGAGGAGAAUGGAAUUCCUAGUGUAGCGGUGUAAUGCGGAGAGAUGAGGAAGAAUACCGGUGGCGAAGGCGAUUCUCUGGACCGUAACUGACGCUGA
rnacentral:rRNA from 1 species